rnacentral:lncRNA from 1 species
GUAUGAUUUUUUUUUGUUUCCCAUGCGACGUUCCCCAACAGGAUUGGGAUCGUAUGUUGCCCCAAUCACAAAUGCGCCCAUCUCCUCCAUUUUAUAUUCCACAUGGGUCGGAUCUUCAUUCUCAUUGAUCAUACUUUCCAAGUAUAUCUCCUACACGUUCAUGGUUUGCAAGCAAUCAUCUUGUGCGAACUAGUGAACUAUACGAAACAUUAAUCAUUUGAUUGGACACGAG